rnacentral:lncRNA from 1 species
GUUUGGCUUUUGCUCGGAGUGGGAUGAUAAAUAUGGGGGUGUUGGAUGGGCCUCCCAUUUGAAAAGCAGCACUUUUGUUUCUGUCUGUCAGGUGUCAGUCGGGAUGCGGUGGAAGCAGUCUUGCUCAGAGGCUGUUGCGACUCACCGUGCAGAUCCAGGAAGUCAUCUUAGCCCAGAGGAGGUCAGCAGGUGGAGUGGGAUCGCCUAGGAGACAGCUGCAGUGACAUCAUGCACUGCGCACGCAGGUGUACUCACGAGAGGUCAGAGCGUGGUGGAUUACGGCUGUGUGCUUUCAGUCUUUCGUUUUGCAGAGACCCGGGCUACACCCUCACAGCCAGUGCCACGAAGCUGCAAUCACUCUUACUAUGUGCAGUGCAUUCCAGUGUUUUCUAUUCUAAUCCUGUUUCAUUUGUUUUUCUAAAAAUGCUGUUUGCAACCCUCUCCAUUGAUUUCCUGUCUCCUGAAUGUUUUUAAUGGCAGUUUGAACAGCGCUGGAUUGGAGAGAGGGAGACAGGAGGCAGCCUGGGCGGAGGGUGCUGUCACUGUCCAGCCAGAAGCAGCAGGGGCAUGGGGCGCCGGGCCCCCGGGGCAGACAGCAUGAAGGUGCCAUUAUGGUGGGCGUCGGCCCCCGGGGCUGUGCUCGGUGCCUCCAAUCUGACAUGGGGGAGCUCCCGUAGCAACAAGAGGGGGCCUGUGAUUGUGUCGUGUUGGGGAGUCAGAAGCUGUGGUUUCAUAACUCAGACACGCUGCAUGGUGUCUGAAAGUCGUUUCAUUAAAUAUCGCGUGGAAUCAAAAUAGAAAUUACAUCUUUGGGACAAAGCCAUUCAGCCAGGAGCCAGGCAUUCUGAAUUGGAACCAGAAUAGUCUCAUGGAAGCUGGAACUGUGGAUCCAAGGCAGCCCUGUCUAUGCGGCCAGCCUCUCCCCUGGCUCACAUCUGAAUUCCCAGCAGUGCAGGUGGUCCGGGAGCCCAGUCCACUUGCAGGAAUCAGAGGCAGCUGAGGGGGGAACGGUGACAAGAGCCCCGCUUUGUUACACUUCAAGAUGGCUAUCUUUGAGGUGGUUUCGAAAGAAGGAGGAUGUGCCAGCUUCUCUGCUGUGUUCAAGCUACAAGGCCCCGUUGCCCUGGGGUUUCUUUAAUAGGCAAGUUUACAUUCUCCAGUGGGGUGGAGUCUUGUGAAAAUGGGAAGAUAAAUUACCAAGAAAUAAAUAAGCUACAUAUUUUGCAUAUCUGAGUGUCAUGUGUUAAGUUGCAGCCUGGCUGCGUGAGACUCUGCGCUUGGUUUCUUCUCUCUGCGUGCUU